UAAAUCGCGAAACCGGGUAAUGUUUGGUUAAUGUGACGCUUGAGCAAUUCAUCUUUUGGCCUUUAUAGAGAACACUUUAGUUUGUAAAACUAAAUGAAACGAAAGUAUAUGAGUGGUACGCAGAAAAUUCACAGUAACGAUGAAUUUAGAGCAAAGCUUCCCAAAAUAACCACCUUGUUUGCAGACGACCUUGCCCCAGCUUCAAGGAAGACCGCAUUUUCUGCAGCACUUUUCUGAACAACAUGCCAAGACUGCACCCCCCUGGAGCCCUGCACCAACCCUCACUGCAUUGACAGCUCAGAGUCUGGUGAUGACCCACAACCCAUCGCCCAGCGUCUGCUCCACUACAUAUUUAUCCCUCUCUUCCUUCAGGGAGGGAGAGGAGGAAGGAGAGAGAGAGGAUUAGAGAAAGACAGAGCCCCCUCGCGCUGCGGCCCGCUGCCCUGGCAGCCGCUCGCCGUGGGAGGAUAGGCUUCAGAUUUAGAGCCGGAGCUGCAGACGUAAGAAAGCUCUGAUCCAUCCCUCUCCCCUGCCUCCCACACCCAGCAGCACCUCAGCAGCCAAGAGCCUCUCAGUGCAGGGGAACACGCCGAAUGCGAGAGGAGCUGCUGCAGGAACCAGGAUCCAGGUCUGCAAUUACCUCCCUGCUCCUCCGCCAUGCCGUGGGCUGGACGUCAAGAGCAGCAGCCCUCGGCUGAACCCAGGGCCUGUACCGCCCACUCAAACCUGAACUCUCACACUCUCACACUCUACCUCACACUCACUCACACACUACCUCACACUUACUCUGCCUCACACUCAAACUCUACCUCACACUCUCACACAUAUAUACAUUCUCUCUUUCACACAAACUACCUCUCACUCAUGCAUACACACUCUCACACAAAUUAUCUCUUUCAUACAAAUACUCUCACUUUCAGACUCUCAUACAUACACACUAUCUUAUGCAUACAAAUUCUCCCUCUUAUAUUAACAUUCACCUGAAGACACAUACAAUGUCUCUCUCACACACACAUACUCUCUCGCACACCCCAGACACAAAAAUGCACUUACACAUACCCUCACUAACAUACAAACUCACAUACACAUGCAUUCACCUCAACAUACACACACUGUCUCUCUCACACACACUUUCUUGCAUAUCCACAUAUGCACUCUUACACACCAGACGCACAAGUAUACACUCUCACACGUCCCACGCAUACACACAUAUACACUCUCUAGCACACCUCUCUCUCACGCACACGCACACCGUGUUCUAACUGAUGCUCAGUCGGAGGGGGCGUGGCCUGUCAGCGCUGGGCCAGUGGAGCAGCGCGGGGAGGGCGGGGCCUCCAGCUCAGCCUGUUCUCAGACAGGUUUGCUGGCGGGGCUUGACGAGCCGGGCCCCGAGGCAGACGGCUGCUCACCGGGUCAGUGUUUAAUACAGCAGCCUGUGGGGAGUGGAGGAGAGAGGGUGGAGAGACAGGUAGGGUGCCGGGGGGCGAGUAUGAGGUGCACCAGGCUCUGUGUGCUACAGACUGACUGCUGAGAGUGCAGAUAACCCAGCUGAACGUGGAAGCGUGCGAUGUUGUGGCUCAGCCAUUAGCGGCUAGGAGCUGGCACCGCCGGCGAGGGACUAGCUGUUACAGCAGGCCCGGCAGCAUUAAUGCCCAGCCGAAGCGAGUGCAGUAGCAAUAUGGCACAUUAAAGAGGCGGUCGGGCUAAUGCAGAGGGAAGCAAGACUUCUAAUUAGCAUUCAUUAACAAAGCGGGAAAGAGAGAUUAUGGACGCUCAGCACUGCAUUAGCUAAUGUCAUUCUCUCUCUUUUUUUCCCCUUAUCAGCAGAUCUGAUGUGGGGUAGAGUGCUGUGCUGACUGGGUGGGGAUGGAGCAGGGGGUAUCGCAUGGAUCUGAGGUAGAGCAAUGCUCUGAAUUACAACUAAAUGGAGAUGCGGUGGGGGGGGUGUGUUGAUCUACACUAGGGCAGCUGUCUGUGCAGUUUAACUGGGAGGGGAAGGGUAGGGUGUAGAGGGUAGAGCUGUCUGGCAGUUCUCUGUGCAUUUUAAAUGUGAUGCAGUGGAGUAAGAGGUGGAGGGUAGAGAGUAGGGGGUAGAUCCAAACUGUGUUAGUGUUCUUUACACUAACUGUGAAGCAAAGUAUUGCCAUCUGGUGACAGUCUGGCUUUGAAAUCCCUUAUUUCAUGAAGGGCAUUUCCUGUAUCCCAAGUAGGUUUGAUUUUCUGUUACAUAUUUUUGAAGCACGCAUUUGUCUAGGCACAAUGACACAUGUAAUUAUGAUUUAUUUGCAUUGCAGAAACCCUUAUACUGGCUGGGAGCUUAAAUUUUGCAUACUACCCAUUUGCACACGGUACAUGUACUGAGAAAAUUCAAAUGAAGGCUCCUUUAUGGAGGGUAAAGCCACAGAACACCAGAUAUGAACCUCUGACCCUCUGGUGUGUACUAUAUAGUAUAUGAUUUUUUUUUUUAAUUCAUAGUAAUGUUUCAUGAUGUAUUCCUCCAGUUUAUGGCUUCAAUUUAGAGACAUUAUAAAUCAUAUAAAUGUAUUGCUUUGUUCACUGUAAGCGCAUAUAAACAAUUCUCAUGAGCCACAGAAUGUUCCUGUUUUAUAUUUAUUUAUUUAUUUAUUUAUUUUUGCCUGUUUUAUUUAACUGCAGUCACAUAAUUCACAAGAUAAUUAAUGACAGUCUGGUAGCAGCUGAAAUGCUAAUAAGAAAUAAAUAGCUCUUAAAUCGACCAUGUGUUUGAAGGAGCAAUAAACAAAUUUUGCAUCAGCAUCAACUUCCUGCAUCAGCUAAAUUUCCUUUGCUCCUUAAAAUAAAUAACUGCAGCUCAACUGUUUGGAGAAAAAAAAAAAAAAAAAAAAACGUACUGACUCCCUUAAGAAAUAUGUCCCCUCUGUGAUUGGUGAUCGGCCGGCUCUCUGGAGUUUGGCCCUGGAGUUGUGUGUGCGUGGCUGAGAACGGAAGGUGCUGU